rnacentral:rRNA from 1 species
UACGUAGGGGGCUAGCGUUGUCCGGAUUUAUUGGGCGUAAAGCGCGUGUAGGCGGCCAGAUAGGUCUGCUGUGAAAACUCGAGGCUCAACCUCGAGCUGUCGGCGGAAACCAUCCGGCUAGAGUCCGGAAGAGGAGAGUGGAAUUCCCGGUGUAGCAGUGAAAUGCGUAGAGAUCGGGAGGAACACCAGUGGCGAAGGCGGCUACCUGGACCAGCACUGACACUGAGGCACGAAAGCGUGGGGAGCAAACAGG